AGGGUUGUAGUUUUGAGAACGACUAACUUGCACUUAGAAGGUACUAAAGUCUACCCUU
rnacentral:tRNA from 1 species